rnacentral:rRNA from 1 species
UGGUCCCUCGGGACCAGCAGUAGGGAAUCUUCCACAAUGGGCGAAAGCCUGAUGGAGCAACGCCGCGUGGGUGAAGAAGGUCUUCGGAUCGUAAAACCCUGUUGUUAGAGAAGAAAGUGCGUGAGAGUAACUGUUCACGUUUCGACGGUAUCUAACCAGAAAGCCACGGCUAACUACGUGCCAGCAGCCGCGGUAAUACGUAGGUGGCAAGCGUUAUCCGGAUUUAUUGGGCGUAAAGGGAACGCAGGCGGUCUUUUAAGUCUGAUGUGAAAGCCUUCGGCUUAACCGGAGUAGUACAUUGGAAA